rnacentral:rRNA from 1 species
GUGGGGAAUAUUGGACAAUGGGCGAAAGCCUGAUCCAGCCAUGCCGCGUGUGUGAAGAAGGUCUUCGGAUUGUAAAGCACUUUAAGUUGGGAGGAAGGGCAGUAAGUUAAUACCUUGCUGUUUUGACGUUACCGACAGAAUAAGCACCGGCUAACUUCGUGCCAGCAGCCGCGGUAAUACGAAGGGUGCAAGCGUUAAUCGGAAUUACUGGGCGUAAAGCGAGCGUAGGUGGUCUUGUAAGUUGGAGGUGAAAUCCCCGGGCUGAACCUGGGAACUGCCGCCAAAACUGCAUGACUAGAGUACGGUAGAGGGUAGUGGAAUUUCCUGUGUAGCGGUGAAAUGCGUAGAUAUAGGAAGGAACACCAGUGGCGAAGGCGACUACCUGGACUGAUACUUACACUGAGGUGCGAAAGCGUAGGGAGCAAACAGGAUUAGAAACCCUUGUAGUCC